CUUUAUGGCUGCGGGUAUCCGGUUGUAAUGGCACUGCUUCUUGUUUUCCCCUGCUGGAUGUAUGUAGCACAUCUGGCUUUGUGAGCACAGCAGUUCCUUGCACUGGGUUGAGAUUAUACCGCUAGAACCUGAUCAGUGCUCAGACCUGCGUAGGGAAGCCCCCAGUGUCGUCG
rnacentral:ncRNA from 1 species